rnacentral:rRNA from 1 species
UACAGAGGGGGCAAGCGUUGUUCGGAAUUACUGGGCGUAAAGGGCGCGUAGGCGGCCUGCUAAGUCGAACGUGAAAUCCCUGGGCUCAACCCAGGAACUGCGUCCGAUACUGGUUGGCUUGAAUCCGGGAGAGGGAUGUGGAAUUCCAGGUGUAGCGGUGAAAUGCGUAGAUAUCUGGAGGAACACCGGUGGCGAAGGCGACAUCCUGGGACGGUACUGACGCUGAGGCGCGAAAGCGUGGGGAGCAAACAGG